rnacentral:rRNA from 1 species
AAACCCUUUAACGAGGACCUAUUAGAGGGCAAGUCUGGUGCCAGCAGCCGCGGUAAUUCCAGCUCUCAAGGUGUAUAUCGCCAUUGCUGCGGUUAAAAAGCUCGUAGUUGGAUCUGCGCCUUCGGACUCGGUCCUCCCAACGGGUGCGAACUGAGCUCCAAGGCUACUACUGCUGGUUUUCCCUUGAUGCUCUUCACUGGGUGUCUUGGGUGGCUAGCGAGUUUACUUUGAAAAAAAUUAGAGUGCUCAAAACAGGCUAUUGCCUGAAUACCGGUGCAUGGAAUAAUAGAAUAGGAUCUCGGUCCUAUUUUGUUGGUUUUCGGAACUGAGAUAAUGGUUAAGAGGGACAGACGGGGGCAUUCGUAUCGCUGCGUGAGAGGUGAAAUUCUUGGACCGCAGCGAGACGCCCAACUGCGAAAGCAUUUGCCAAGAAUGUCUUCGUUAAUCAAGAACGAAAGUCAGAGGUUCGAAGGCGAUCAGAUACCGCCCUAGUUCUGACCGUAAACGAUGCCAACUAGCGAUCCGCCGGUGGUAAUUACGCCCCGGCGGGGAGCUUCCCGGAAACGAAAGUCUUCCGGUUCCGGGGGAAGUAUGGUUGCAAAGCUGAAACUUAAAGGAAUUGACGGAAGGGCACCACCAGGAGUGGAGCUUGCGGCUUAAUUUGACCCAACACGGGAAAACUCACCCGGCCCGGACACCGUAAGGAUUGACAGAUUGAGAGCUCUUUCUUGAUUCGGUGGUUGGUGGUGCAUGGCCGUUCUUAGUUGGUGGAGCGAUUUGUCUGGUUUAUUCCGAUAACGAACGAGACUCUGGCCUACUAACUAGUGACAGAAUUAUUGCUGUUCUGGUUACUUCUUAGAGGGACAAGUGGUGUUCAGCCACACGAAAUUGAGCAAUAACAGGUCUGUGAUGCCCUUAGAUGUCCGGGGCUGCACGCGUGCUACACUGGAGGAAACAGCAUGCAAAACCAUUGCCGAGAGGCAUUGGUAAACCCAAGAAAAUCUUCCGUGAUCGGGAUUGGGAAUUGCAAUUAUUUCCCUUGAACGAGGAAUUCCCAGUAAGUGUGGGUCAUCAGCUCGCGCUGAUUACGUCCCUGCCCUUUGUACACACCGCCCGUCGCUGCCCGGGACUGAGCCGUUUCGAGAAAAGCGGGGACUGCUGCUGUUGGGGCUUUCGGGCCUUGGCUUCGGUGGAAACCGCUUUAAUCGCAGUGGCUUGAACCGGGCAAAAGUCGUAACAAGGUUUCCGUAGGUGAACCUGCGGAAG